rnacentral:rRNA from 1 species
GUCGGCAGGGUGGAAACGGAUAGAGUUGACGUAUUCGGGCUCGCAUUCAGCCGGUGUUUGUGGUCGUCGCGAUGGCGGGCGGAGCGUCUAGGCGCUCCUUUCGUCGUCGUGUACUGGCUGUGAGCGCUGGUGCAUUUGUGGGUCGUUGUGCGCUGGGACGUGUGCGUUGGUCGCUGGCAACUUUGGCACGAGGAUGCUCAUUUCGGUGAGUAAAACCGGGCCUUUGCUUGUCGGCGGUUCGAUGUGCACGCUCGCUUGGCACGCACGAGGUUCUCGGCGGCUGGCCGAUGUUGCGCUGUAUGGCGGUCGCAUGCGACACGUGUAUAGUGCGGUGUCGACGAUUGUCGAGUCCCCGUGCGCUGUCCCGGUGUAAAAGUCGAUCAUCUAUCCGACCCGUCUUGAAACACGGACCAAGGAGUUUAACGUCUACGCGAGUCAUUGGGUGUUUGAAACCUAAAGGCGUAAUGAAAGUGAAGGCGCCCUUGAUGGUGCUUAUAUGCGAUCUGAUGGGCCGCGGCCCAGCCGGAGCAGCAUAGCCCCGUUCUUGUCGCUUGCGAUGGGGCGGAGGAAGAGCGUAUGCGUUGAGACCCGAAAGAUGGUGAACUAUGCUUGAGCAGGACGAAGUCAGAGGAAACUCUGAUGGAAGUCCGAAUCGGUUCUGACGUGCAAAUCGAUCGUCUGACUUGAGUAUAGGGGCGAAAGACUAAUCGAACUAUCUAGUA